UAUAUAUUUGUAUAUAUAUAUAUAUAUAUAUAUAUAUAUAUAUAUAUAUAUAUAUAUAUAUAUAUAUAUAUAUAUGAAAUAAAAUGAUAUGUAUGUAAAUCCGCCUAGAUUAAAUUGAGACUCUUCCAUUCCAUCAAUAAAUUCAUCAAGUAGA